UGCCCUUUGCAAAUAUUUUUCAGCUUUUUUUCUUCAAUCUUAGGUGAUACAUUAAGGCUAGAGGGAGUAGAGUUGGAUAAAUGCCUUUUCUGUAGAUGGGGUAAGGCUCCGGAAGGCUUUUUGCUAGAGAUUUGACCUUCAUUUUGGGGAAUGCUCUGGACCACUCAGUGUAUUUCAAAAUGGUUACAAUCCCCCUCCCACUGCCAGAGAUAUGGGGGGAUCUUUCUUGGCUCUCCAAUGUGAGAACCUGUUGGAGUUCUGGAAGAUAAAGCCCAUGAAAGUGUGUGGGUUCACCCACGACUACGGCCCACAGGAGUUUCUCACUCUCAUUCUAGUCCAUUCAGCUUCCAUGUAAGUGUUCCUACCACUUUAUGACUCCAGCGGUUUCUGCUCCAGGUUUGCACUUCUCAUUACAACUGGGGGAGAAUCUAUCCUAAUUCUGAAGACAUUCUGGGAAGAAGAUCUCACCAGCUCUCUCGUUAUCGCUAAUGUGAAACAUCCGUCACUUGUGGAAAAUCUGUCUGAAGGACAUCUAAUUUCCUCAGACUGGAGUUUAUUCCCAUUUCCUUUAAAUGAGACUUCAGUGAGGACCACAUAAGAUUUCUGUUAACCAACCACUUAGAGAAACGGGAUUGAAGGAGCUAGGAGUGCCUAUAAAGCUCUUAGAACAGUGUCUGUCAUAUAAUGGGCUUUCAAAGAACAUUAGCUGCCAUAAUAGUAAUGAUUGUAAAAUUAUGGAGGGAGACAUCAGGUUUUUUGUCUAUCUGAAUAGUUUUGGGAUUAGCAGCUCUGACUGCCUGGUAGUGGUUGAUUUGGGUGUUGUACCCUGAGGUUACAUCCUGGGUCAGUGGCAAGGAACACAUGAUUAAUGGCUGACAUGAGUGAGGGAAGGGGGCAGGAAAGGAAUGGCCACAUUGCAUCAACUGUCUGCCAUCCUGUAAUGAUGACUGUAAGCUCUUUGAGGGGAGGGACCCUAUCUUAUUAGUCCUGUGUCCCUAGUACUUAGCACGGUGUCUAACAAAGAAGAACAAAAUAUGUAUUGAAUAAUUGAAUGUUGACUAUCUUUAAAAAAUCACUCAAGAAAAUAUAAGUUAUUGUAUGACUGAUAUUCCUGUCACCUAGUCUC
rnacentral:lncRNA from 10 species